GGCCCUAUGGUCAAGUGGUCAAGACAUCGCCCUUUCACGGCGGUAACCCGAGUUCGAACCUCGGUAGGGUCACCA
rnacentral:tRNA from 1 species